CGUAGGGGGCGAGCGUUGUCCGGAUUUAUUGGGCGUAAAGAGCGUGUAGGCGGUUCGGUAAGUCUGUCGUGAAAUCCUGAGGCUCAACCUCGGGCGUGCGAUGGAUACUGCCGGGCUAGAGGAUGGUAGAGGCGAGUGGAAUUCCCGGUGUAGCGGUGAAAUGCGCAGAUAUCGGGAGGAACACCAGUAGCGAAGGCGGCUCGCUGGGCCAUUCCUGACGCUGAGACGCGAAAGCUAGGGGAGCGAACAGGAUUAGAUACCCUGGUAGUCCUAGCCGUAAACGAUGGACACUAGGUGUGGGGGGAGUCGAAUCCCUCUGUGCCGCAGCCAACGCGUUAAGUGUCCCGCCUGGGGAGUACGGCCGCAAGGCUA
rnacentral:rRNA from 1 species